rnacentral:rRNA from 1 species
AUGAAGCCUUCGGGUGUAACCACUGUUGCCGGACGAAACUCUCCUUUCGAGGAGAUUGACGGUACCGGGUGAGGAAGCACCGGCUAACUCUGUGC